GACGAACGCUGGCGGCGUGCUUAACACAUGCAAGUCGAACGGAAAGGCCCUGCUUUUGUGGGGUGCUCGAGUGGCGAACGGGUGAGUAACACGUGAGUAACCUGCCCUUGACUUUGGGAUAACUUCAGGAAACUGGGGCUAAUACCGGCUAGGAGCUCCUGCUGCAUGGUGGGGGUUGGAAAGUUUCGGCGGUUGGGGAUGGACUCGCGGCUUAUCAGCUUGUUGGUGGGGUAGUGGCUUACCAAGGCUUUGACGGGUAGCCGGCCUGAGAGGGUGACCGGCGACAUUGGGACUGAGAUACGGCCCAGACUCCUACGGGAGGCAGCAGUGGGGAAUAUUGCACAAUGGGCGGAAGCCUGAUGCAGCAACGCCGCGUGCGGGAUGACGGCCUUCGGGUUGUAAACCGCUUUCGCCUGUGACGAAGCGUGAGUGACGGUAAUGGGUAAAGAAGCACCGGCUAACUACGUG
rnacentral:rRNA from 1 species